rnacentral:rRNA from 1 species
AGGAUAAACGCUGGCGGCGUGCCUAACACAUGCAAGUCGAACGUCUCUUCUUUCGGGAAGAGGAGUGGCGGACGGGUGAGGAACACGUGGGAACCUGCCCUUCAGUGAGGAAUACCGGCGAGAAAUCGCCGACAAGACCGCAUAGCCCUCUCUGGUGAGAGCCAGAGAAGGAAAGCUUCGCAAGAGGCGCUGGAGGAGGGGCCUGCGUCCGAUUAGCUAGUUGGUGGGGUAAGAGCCUACCAAGGCGUCGAUCGGUAGCUGGUCUGAGAGGACGAUCAGCCACACUGGGAUUGAGAACGGCCCAGACUCCUACGGGGGGCAGCAGUGAGGAAUUUUCGGCAAUGGGGGAAACCCUGACCGAGCAACGCCGCGUGCAGGAAGACGGCCUUCGGGUUGUAAACUGCUUUUCUUUGGACGAGCAAGGACGGUACCAGAGGAAUCAGCCCCGGCUCACUACGUGCCAGCAGCCGC